UUGAACGUUUGAGAGUCUAUCAGUGUGUUUGUUUGUGGUCUUUCUGUUUCUAGGUGGAAGCUGAAUUAGUGAGGAUGACUCCUGCUCCUGUCAUCUCUAAGCUCCUCACACAUCUUUACCUGCACAUGAGGAAAAUCACUCCUGUAGAAUGCAGUGGUUCAUCAGAACCUCUGGGGAUGUCCUGUGGAUUCUGUGGAUCCUGUGGGUUGCAGGGUGGGUCCUACCUAGACCAGGCUGAUCCUGGACCAUCCCACAGAUGCUCCAUCAGAUGUGGAUGUGGGGAGUGUGGAACCCAGAUGUUCAGAGGGAGAUGAUGCCACAUCUGGUCCAGCUGAUGGAAGGUCUUGAAGUUCUCUGACUGGCCUCGACUGAAGAUGGUCGUCUCACUGGAUUUAAGGUUCAGAUGCUCAGUAACAAACUCCACCAAUGAGCCAACAGGGAAGCUUUCUUCGGGGAAGGUCUCUUUGAGGAUUUUGGAUGGAAUACUCGGUUAAACCAACAUUUUAGGUGCAUGUCCAAGGAUUUUUGGUGGAAAUUUCCUUUAAGGUGGAUGUGUGAGGACCUUGUAGGUCGAAUCCUUUCUGAAACCAACCUUUUAGGUCAGCAUUCAAAGAUUUAAGGUGAAAUAUUCCUUUAAACCAACCUAAAUUUCAUGUUUUGAUCAUUAUCAAGUGAGAAACCUCAAUCCAGACUCCUCAUAAUGACGUUUGAGAUUCAUGCUGCUGUUAUUUGUUUAGUCCAGACUAAAUGACAGAAAUCCACAACUGUAAUUUUAUUUCAGGACUCGGUUAUUAAAUGUCAAAACAAUCCAUGUGACUCUAAAAACUCAACAGCUGUACAAACUCUAAGAUUAAACUCUCCACAAGGAUCCAAAAUAAGUUGGACUUCUACACGAGAGCUUUAAUUAUUCUUCAUCUACUUCCUGAAAAGUUUGGUCAAUAAAAAAAGACAAAAACUAAUAUUUUCAGCUGAACUAAAGACAGACUUUGUGAUUUUUCUGCUCACAUGUUGUGUUGUUGUAAACUUACUCUUUCAAAUAAAUAGCCUCUUAACCCCCUGGAAACCAGCGUUUGUCCUGUUUUUGUGUUGCUCCUCGGCGACCCUAGACAGCCGGGUCCUAAUGUUUUUUGAGCAACACACCAUACUAUGACGUUUUUACAAUGAUGGUUCUACUAUGGAACCAGUUUGACAUGUUCAGGUGUUCUUUGUGUGAAAACUCAGAGAUUUCAGGGAUCAGAAGGUGGUUUUCAACUUUCUUUGUUAACUUUCUGCUUCAACUUUAAACUAAAUUUCCUUCACUAAGCCAACCCUCUGGACUUCCAGUAAGCUGUGUUUCUAUUGGCUGUCCAGGUGGCUGUGUUCCUAUUGGCUGUCCAGGUGGCUGCUUGGUGUUAUCAGGAACACCUGAGCAGCUCAGUGUCUUCCUGCUUUAUUUAGCUGCAGACAAACAUUUCCUCUGCUUCUCUUCACCAGUGAACUGGGUUUGGCUCCAUUGCUUUACUUUGUUCUUUAGGCGUUGGCUUGCAGCUUCCAGCAGUAAAAUCGUCUUUAAUGUGUUUCUUGGUGUGUUUUAGGGUUUUGUACUGGAUAGUUGUCUUGGUAAAUGUGGUUCUUUAGCCACAGUUAGCACAUGGUGCUAAUGUGUGCAGUGAUUAGUGGAUUUGGAGCAGCUGAGUUGUGUCUUUAUCUUGGCUGUAGUGAGUCUUCAGAGGUUUUUGGUCAGACACAUUCUGUAUUCUUGUCCAGAAGGUAAGAGUUCCUGUUCUGAUUCUCUGUUCUCAGAGGUUCUCUGGUAGGCUGCAGGAGACUUUAGUGUUUGGGUUGUGCUAGUUUGGUUUUUGUAUGGUUUCAUUUGAACGACUAUCUUGAGGCCCCUCCAUGUGGUUUAGUGAGGUUUUCUGGAACAGUUCUACAAAGCAACCUGCAGCAGAAGAGACUUUGAGAGUUUUUAGGAAGUUCUGGAGAGCAGACUUUAGAGCAGCAGAAACAUUUGUCAGCAGUUUGAGCAGCAGAAGGUGAUCUUCAGAGUAGAAAUGAGACAGAAACCUUCUUGACCCGUGUGGUGAGGUCCUGUACCAAGAGUUUGAGCAGGUUGUGAAGAGUCUGUAGUUCUUUGGUCUGAAAGCACAAGAAGAGUCGACUCAUUAAAGGAGAAAACAGGAGAUAUUGUUGGUUCUUCUGUUGCUCUGCAGUUUCCUUAGACUGAAUAUCAAGUUUAUGUUUUAAAUGAUUUCCCAUGUGAGCCCAAGAAGACUUCAAUAAACUCCCUCCAUCCCCUGGACACAACAUAUUUUAUUACCAUGUUAAAUCUUCUUUUUUGUUUGUUUUU